ACUUCUCUUUUCUUGCAGCUCUCCCGAUUUGUCACGUUGGUUUAUCUGUGUUGAGCUGAUUGUAAUGUUCAUGCUAUGCAAUAUUAGUUUCUACCUGAACGGUUACAGCCUGAAUGGGUCCAGCUAGCUAGUUUCAUUGCACAUAACCUGUUAAGGUGAAAGUAAUGGAUCGACCUGUACGUGAAGAAGUGUGAGUUGGAGGAGUGUGAGUUGGAGGAGCAGCUGUCGCCUGCAUGGGUGAAAAAUAAGUGGGAGAGGAGCCAUAAGCAAAAAUACACGCAAUUGAAAGCUCCCCCCACCGGAGUCAUCACGGAGGGUGGGGGUAUGUGGUGAUGGAUGAGGUGCUGCAAGGCCUGCCACUCCAUCACCCCACCGGUCAUCAUCUCCUCUCCCUUCCAGAAGGGUCCAGAUGUGGAGGUGGGAGAAGGUGGCUGCCAGGGUGGCACGCCUUAUGGCCAUUUUAAAGGUUAGAUUAUUAAAAAUGUGUUUUAUUUUGUAUGCAUUUUAUUUAUAGCUAUUAAUUUUUUACUGUUUUUGGUGAAGUGUUUUUUUUAAAACCCAAAGUGGAUGUCACGAUCGUCUUCGUGAGAAAGAGAGGACCAAGGCGCAGCGUGUGCAAAAUACAUCUCUUUAUUUUGGAAGAGAGAAAAAACACGAAACAAACACUAUACACAAACUAACAAAACAACAAACGACCGUGAAGCUAAAUAACGUAAGUGCACAGACAAGCAACAAACGUUCAACAUAGACAACACCCCACAAAAGCCUACUGCCUAUGGCUGCCUUAAAUAUGGCUCCCAAUCAGAGACAAUGAAUGACAGCUGUCUCUGAUUGAGAACCAAUCUAGGCAGCCAUAGACAUAACUAGACAACACUACUCUACUCUGCCCCAUACACAUACAACACCCCUAGACAUUACAAAACACAUACCUUCCCCAUGUCACACCCUGACCUAACUAAAAAACAUAAAGAAAACAAAGAAUACUAAGGCCAGGGCGUGACAGUGGAUUUCUGUUUUGUCAUUGAAGUGUUUCUUGUUUGUAAUAAACAUUUUUAUU